GAUGAGCGCUGGCGGCGUGCUUAACACAUGCAAGUCGAACGAUGAAGCCCAGCUUGCUGGGUGGAUUAGUGGCGAACGGGUGAGUAACACGUGAGUAACCUGCCCUUAACUCUGGGAUAAGCCUGGGACACUGGGUCUAAUACCGGAUAGGAGCGUCCACCGCAUGGUGGGUGUUGGAAAGAUUUAUCGGUUUUGGAUGGACUCGCGGCCUAUCAGCUUGUUGGUGAGGUGAUGGCUCACCAAGGCGACGACGGGUAGCCGGCCUGAGAGGGUGACCGGCCACACUGGGACUGAGACACGGCCCAGACUCCUACGGGAGGCAGCAGUGGGGAAUAGUGCACAAUGGGCGCAAGCCUGAUGCAGCGACGCCGCGUGAGGGAUGACGGCCUUCGGGUUGUAAACCUCUUUCAGUAGGGAAGAAGCGAAAGUGACGGUACCUUCAGAAGAAGCACCGGCUAACUACGUG
rnacentral:rRNA from 1 species